AGUAUCGCUUAACCUGAAAGUUUAAACUAAAUUAAAGCCUCGUGUAACCAGGGGAAAUCUUCAAAAUAUAAUCAAUAUAGAAUUAAUGCUCCUAAUCAAACUUUGCACAUCAAAGGUAUAAGUACCAUAACAGGAAAACAAUGAGAAAAUAGUAGCCUCUUACUGAUGAAUAAUUAAUAACUAAUNAACUCCUGAGUUAAAUAAUCAUAAUGAGGGAACUUGUCUUCCGAUCAAUACAACAUCGUCAUAUAUGAAUACACAAAAAUAAUAAAGGAAAGAGAAUCAGGAUAAGAUAAGGUGUUAAGAAAACCUACUCUACUACUCAGAAAAACAGAGGUCACUGAAGAAUGAAAAAUAUUAUUCACCUUAACCUUNUAACCCUGAAUACAUGGUCUUAUAUAACAAAAUAUUUGUAAAUACUAAAAAUCAGAAAUGAAAAGAUAAUGCUACUAACAAGCUAACNGAAUGCCAAAACAGAAAAUAAAGCUGACAAAUAAAAACAUCAUAUUCUAACAGAAUUAUGUGUAUCCUAACAGUCCNCCUCAAACCCAAAGUUAUUAAAAAUAAUCAAUAACUUAGAUCAGAACGCAAAAAAGAGAAAUGAGCUUGAGAAAGGGAGUUUGUCAAUAUAUCAGCAAGUUGGUCCUGNGCAGGAAUAUGAAUAACAACUAAGGAGGAAUCCAGCACUUUAAAGUGCCAAUCACUAGAUAUAUAAUCAACCAACAUCAUAGUUAAAAUACCAAGUAUAAAGUAUUAUUUAGAAUAAGGUAUUGUUAAUGGAAGCACGANCCUAAUUAACUAGAGCACAGAAUAAUAAAGUUCAGGAGUAUUUAGCCUUAUGGCUUGAAUAUUAAAGAUUUCCAAAAUAAAAGCAAAUGCACACAUUGAAAGUCUAUUAUAAUCUGAAACGUUUAUACAUCCUUCUUCUUCCAUAUCCUCUUCACUUUCACUUCCAAAGAUUUCUUCGUCAUAAAAUUCAUUAUCCAAGUUUUCAUUAUCUAAUUUUUGUUGAAUUUCCGCAAUGGNUUUUUCAAUUUUAUCAAACCUAGCUGUGUGAAGUUUCAUUUGAUUAACCAUGUAUCUUUCAAAAUCAGUUUUGGGUUUGAAAGCAUUUGAAGCAGGUUCAGCAUUUGAAACUCAACCAGAAAACUCAUCUCCAUCAACAUCCCAUCCCAUCCCCUCCCUCAACACCCAUUUUCAAUAACAAUCAAGGUUUAAGACAAACCCUAAUCUAAGCAAUUGAAACUUACCAGAUGUAGAAGACAAUGGCAGCUUCCGCUUAUAUCUUCCAGUUCGAAGAAAUAAACCUAGGGUUUCCUAAAUCGCGAUUUCAAACCUCCAAACAACAACGACCAAAAAUAGGUCAAUGUAUUACACAACCAGAGCAAAAUGAAAAAAAAAAAAAAAAAAACCUCAAAGCUUCGACUACUCACCGCCUUCGAUCGUCCAAUGCUACACUACGGUUCCAAUGACAGAGGAUGGUGGUUCGAAACUAGGAAAAAGAGAGUUCCCAUGAAGGAGAACGAGUGUGAGGUCACACACAGUGAAGGAGAUCAUCGGAUAAUGUGACGGAAGAAGAGACUGCGACAACAGGAAGAAUGAUGGGUUGACAACACAACAAUGAGUGCGACAACAGGGUUUCAGAUAGGGAAAAUCAUGGUUACAGUGAGUGAGGGAUAAUCAGGUUGCAGUGAGUGAGGGAGAAUCAUGGAUUGAUGCUAUGAUUUUAUUUUUGGCUCGAGGGAGGGAUGGAGAAAAGUGAGAAGAGUUUAAUCAGAUUGCAUACUAUUUAGUUUUA
rnacentral:lncRNA from 1 species